UACGAAGGGUGCAAGCGUUACUCGGAAUCACUGGGCGUAAAGCGUGCGUAGGCGGUUCGUUAAGUCUGCUGUGAAAGCCCUGGGCUCAACCUGGGAACUGCAGUGGAUACUGGCGGACUAGAGUGUGAUAGAGGAUGGUGGAAUUCCCGGUGUAGCGGUGAAAUGCGUAGAGAUCGGGAGGAACACCAGUGGCGGAAGGCGGCCAUCUGGAUCAACACUGACGCUGA
rnacentral:rRNA from 1 species